rnacentral:rRNA from 13 species
CUAAAAAUGAAAACGCUCCCCAUCUUGAAAAAAUGAAACGUGAUUAAAAUUAAUUAAAAAAUUAAUAAAAAUAAAAAAUAGACGAAAAGGAACUGGAGAAUUAACA